GAACGCUGUGAAGACUGGGCUUGCUCUUCCCCACGUCUCAUCAAUUACAUGGGCCUUUCAGAUGAUUUAACAGGUGGCCGUCCCGGGGUAGCGUGACCCCAUCUGACUCCUUUGGUUUUAGACUGUGGAGUGGGUGAUUUUUUUUUUUUUUUAAGUGCUACAUUCUUUUAGGAAUCAGCAGCCCCCAUCUGGCCUUCAGCGUCGGACAUCAGCGUGAUGGUACAAACCUUGAAAGUCAGGGCAGUGCCCCUCACUGUGAAAAGACAAAGUCGUUGCUUCAAAGAGCUGAGCAGGACACUGGGUCCCAGAGGCACAGGACAAAUUCAGGCGCCAGGUAGAAAAAAAGAGUCUUUUGCACUUAGCAGCCUGGAGAGCUGCUGUCAAAGCCACUCUCUUGGGCCAGGGGUGUCCGGGUGUCACCAGCUGUGCCUCUCCUGAGACUCGGGGCAGCCUCAGGAGGCUGUGCCUGCGCUGAGGUGCGGCUGGGGGGAGGCGCCCUCUGCUGACAAUCAUGUUCCCCCUCCCAGGAUCCCCUGUGAGAAAGCACGAUUUCACAGUCCUCCCAGGGUCUUCUGCCAACUUCUGUGAACAGAUGUGGAAUUAAAAAAAAAAGUAAAACAAAGAGGAAGGAGCUCCAUUUUCAACUGUAUAACUAGAACAUUUCUGAUAGAAGAAAAUAGGCUAAUGACUUUUUAAAAAAAAAAAAUCUCAGAGAUGAAAUCAGUGUAUUAAGUGUGCCAGGACUGCAGUAUAGUGUAAACAUAGCCGGUGUGGGGACUGGGAAAGCAGAGCCUCGUGUGACUUGCUUUGCUGCCGUAUUCGCUUUUGUCUGUGGUCUGGAAAGCGCGGUGUCUCAGGGCCCACCUGUGUGACAAGGUGGGCUGCAUCUUGUGGUUUUAAUCUUUUCUUUCUAAAAUUUUCUAAGAGACGCUGAGUCUAGGAGCACUGGCUGCAGUCCAGCUUUGUCAGAAAGAGGUCAGCUUUCAUUGAGAACUUGGUGGCCAGUGUGCGCUGUCCGCCAGCCCCGCAGCAUGUCCACAGCCUCCCCGGAGCGGCUUGCACCUUGAGCACCUGCUCAUGCUCCUUGAGAAGGGGAAGCACUAGAAGCUCCCGAGCCUUCCUCUGAGCGGCAGUUUGCUCACAUAAGCAUAUGCCAAGUGCUUGGCGAGGGCACAGCGCCCGUGCGGCUCUGGUCGCAGCUGUGCCUCCCUCCCGUCCUCCUGGACCGGGAUGUGCGUCAACAGUGGUGCGCAUGGCAUCCCGAACGCAUCCGCCCUGCCAGGCCCUCCGGCUUCGGUGGGCGGGCCCCCAAGAGACCCGUGCCUGCAGCCCCCGCCCCCCAGCUGUCUGCUUUCUAAGCUGUCACAGCGCCAGCACAGCUGUGCCCCGCGGUGACCCCACUCGCUGCCUUAGAGCGCCAGGCCCUGGACCGAGGCUCCGCGUCCUCCGGGUCCUGAGCUCGCGGGACUCGCGGCCGGAAGCAGCAGCCGAGCCGCCCGGGCCUCGGUCGGUCGGGGCAGGGCUGGUGGAGCCCGGACAUCCGUCUGAACUCUUCCAACUCCAGGAAUCUCACCUUGACCGGAGAUGGUCUGUGUUCCAUGUUUUCAGCAGCCGCAGUAGCUUGAAAGCCUUGGUCUUGAGCGCAUGACCUGUGUGGCGCCCUACCUCUGUCCUGUGGGCGGCGACACCUCGGAGGAGGAUUGUCUUUGUCGUGCCCCGCCCCCUAGAGUUAAAGUCAGCUGAGCAUCCUCUUCCCGAGGCUGAGCAGCCCCCUCUUUAGAACCAGCCCAUGGCUCUCCUCACACCUCGUCCCUCUGUCAUUUGUCCAAGGGACGGGUGUUCCCGGGCAGCCCACUAGAAGUGCUGACCACUCCCAGCAGCUCACUCCCGAGGUCACCAGGCUUAGGAUCCUAAGUAGAAGCACGUGCCAUUCGUCCCUGUGAGGAGUUCCCUGGUGGCACCAUGGCUUAAAGACCUGGCAUCUCUGCAGUGGCUCGGGUCACGGCUGUGGCAAGGGUUCAAUCCCUGGUCUGGGAACUUCUGCAUGCCACAGGCAGAGUAAAAACAAACAAACAAACAACAAAAAGAUUAGCACUGCUAGCGCCACGUCUUCAUUCUAGCUUCUUGAGGAUGCCUGUGAUCCGAUUCUGCCAGCCAGCACACUUCACCUUGUCUCUCGGGUGCUUUCUGUGGCCUUGCUUCCGGAAUUGUGGCACAAAGGUUGAACAAGGCUGAGUCGUUUGUGGUUGAUGCCACUGCCCUCAUCUGCUUAGAAAUCAAUACUCUGUCAACAGGCUCUGUUUACUCUAUGGGGAUUCGUGAAAUCCUAUCGGCUACCACAUCUUUACUAACUGAUGUUAUGGUUUAAUUAACUAGAGGCCUCAUUGCGGUUCAUAAUUGUAAUAUACCUUAAAAUAUCUCUACUUUCCUAAUGCUCUCUGGUGCAUUUUUGUAAAGAUAACCUUGCAAAAUUAACCAUGCAUGAACCUGAAGUGUCACAUUAAGAGAUGGAGGUAACAGCUAGCAGUUUUCACUUGAAGCUCAAUCUCAGGAAAAAAUGUUUAUAUAGACAGAGCUAUGCAGGUGGAGUGCUUUGGGAAGGAUGAGGUGCCAGUGUCCAGAUCCGAGCAAGGAAUAUAGCUAAGGAAAUGUGACAUCAGACNNNNNNNNNNNNNNNGCUCUUCCAAACAGAAGAAUCUGUAGAAUGAUGUCCCGCAGAAACCCCUGAAUAUCCUGGGACCUGUCUCUUCUCUUUGCAUCUCAGUGUAUAAUUGAGCCUAAAUGUGCCAAACAUGCUGGCGGUUAUUCGUACGGACUCUGUCAUCUCUGCAGGAAUAAAGGCACUGUAUGGGAAGUUCACGGGUUUUAAUUUGUGAAAAUUGUUUUCUCCUGAAUGAUAUGGUUUCUAAAAAUGUAUUACUUGCACCCACUGUUUUAAUGUUUCCAGGCCAGAGAGUAGACGUGCCUGUGCUCAUAUUAAAAACAGCAGUAUUACUCUCUGCCAGAAUCCAAACCCAGUUUAGAGACUCCAUCAUGCUCCUGCCCGCCCGGAAACACCCAAGGGCGGGCUGAGUAUAACAGAACAUCUGUUGCUAAUGAGGGUAGGAAGCGCUGAUUAAACGCUUACCAUGUGGUAGGUACAGGCCCUGAGCUUCAGGUUCUCAUGAACAACCCUUUGUGGCACAAAGCAAAGUGUGCCAAUCAGCAGGAGGAAACUGAGGCACAGGGACUCCGGGUAAAUACCCCAAGUCCACAGGUGACGCCCUGUGCGGCUGGGCUGAAGCUGCACCCACCCUGUGCUCCGCUGCUGCUGUGCAGAAUGACUCCUGGGUUGGUGGAGACCUGAAGUCACGGUGGAUGCUGAGAUAGGCCGUGUUUAAAUAUCAUCCCAGUCGCCUGUCUGCUGUGUGACCUUGGCAAGGUCAUUCUCUUGAGUUCAUUUUUCUCCUUUAUAAAUUAAGAAAAACUAGGGCCAGUUUUGGAGGGUUAAUCUUGAGAAUUCCAAGGACGUGUGAGGCACUGAGCACCUGGUCUGUGCUAAGUGACCCAAAGCGUUAGCAAUGCUUUGUCUCCUUGGUGGAAACCAUGCGUCUGGUCGCAGAACCGGCAGCCGGCCUGCCUCACUUCUCCUGCCUCCCCGACCCUGUGGUGAGGCAGGCCUUGCCCAGUGGCUCUGGAGAGGUGCCAGUCCUGUCAUUCAAAACCUGUGUUAGUGACCCUGUGGUUUUGUUUUGUUUUCUGUUACUUUCCAGUGAAAUAGGAAGUGGGCAGUCUGUUAGGGAAAGUGAUUUAGAAUCAUUUAUUGCUUACUCUUUGGCUUCACUUGAUCUACGACAGAUCAGCUGCUCUCAGAAAGCUACUCAGAUGGAAGAAGGGAGAGGGGAUUUGGGUUGGUAAAUUUUCUAUGAUAGAAUAGUAUUAAUAAUAACAACUUUUUUGGUUAAUGUGGUCGAUUUAUACUACACUGAUGCCCCUUUAAGAUUAAUUGUACUGGAGUUCCCAUCGUGUCUCAGUGGUUAAUGAAUCCGACUAGGGACCAUGAGGUUGCGGGUUCAGUCCCUGGCCUCGCUCAGUGGGUUAAGGAUCCGCCGUUGCCGUGAGCUGUGGUGUAGGUCACAGACACGGCUUGGAUUCCGUGUUGCUAUGGCUCUGGUGUAGGCCGGUGGCUACAGCUCUGAUUUAACCCCUAGCCUGGGAACCUCCAUACGCCACGGGAGCGGCC
ensembl:lncRNA